rnacentral:rRNA from 1 species
UACGAAGGGGGCUAGCGUUGUUCGGAAUUACUGGGCGUAAAGCGCGCGCAGGCGGCUAUCCAAGUCAGUGGUGAAAGCCCGGAGCUCAACUCCGGAACUGCCUUUGAUACUGAGGAUCUUGAGUUCGGGAGAGGUGAGUGGAACUGCGAGUGUAGAGGUGAAAUUCGUAGAUAUUCGCAAGAACACCAGUGGCGAAGCGGCUCACUGGCCCGAUACUGACGCUGAGGCACGAAAGCGUGGGGAGCAAACAGG